UACGUAGGGUGCAAGCGUUGUCCGGAAUCAUUGGGCGUAAAGCGCGUGUAGGCGGCUUCGUCAGUCCGUUGUGAAAGUCCAGGGCUCAACCCUGGAAUGCCGAUGGAUACUGCGGAGCUCGAGUCCGGAAGAGGCGAGUGGAAUUCCUGGUGUAGCGGUGAAAUGCGCAGAUAUCAGGAGGAACACCAAUGGCGAAGGCAGCUCGCUGGGACUGUACUGACGCUGAGACGCGAAAGCGUGGGGAGCAAACAGG
rnacentral:rRNA from 1 species